GCGCAGCAGGCGAGAAAACUUUACAAUGUGCGAAAGCACGAUAAGGGAACUCUGAGUGCCUCCUAAGGAGGCUGUUCUGAUGUCUAAAAAGCAACAGAAGUAAGGGCUGGGUAAGACCGGUGCCAGCCGCCGCGGUAACACCGGCAGCCCAAGUGGUAGCCACGUUUAUUGGGUCUAAAGCGUUCGUAGCCGGCCAGGUAAGUUCCUUGGUAAAUUUAGCCGCUUAACGGUUAAGCUUUCAGGGAAUACUGCUUGGCUUGGGACUGGGAGAGGUCAGAGGUACUCCGGGGGUAGGGGUGAAAUCUAUUAAUCCCUGGGGGACCACCGGUAGCGAAGGCGUCUGACCAGACCAGGUCCGACGGUGAGGGACGAAGGCUAGGGGCGCGAACCGGAUUAGAUACCCCUGUAGU
rnacentral:rRNA from 1 species